rnacentral:rRNA from 1 species
UUCGCAAUGCCCGAAAGGGUGACGGAGCGACGCCGCGUGGACGACGAAGGCCCUCGGGUUGUAAAGUCCUGUCAGGUGGGAAGAACAGCUGGAAGGUGAAUAACCUUCAAGCCUGACGUUACCAUCAGAGGAAGCACCAGCAAACUUCGUGCCAGCAGCUGCGGUAAUACGAAGGGUGCGAGCGUUGUUCGGAAUCACUGGGCUUAAAGGGCACGUAGGCGGGGAAAUAAAUCAGAAGUGAAAGCCCGGCGCUCAACGUCGGAAUUGCUUUUGAAAAUGCUUCUCUCGAGUUCAGGAGGGGAGAGCGGAACUCUUGGUGGAGCGGUGAAAUGCGUAGAUAUCAAGGGGAACGCCGGCGGCGAAAGCGGCUCUCUGGUCUGAUACUGACGCUGAGGUGCGAAAGCUAGGGGAGCAAAAAGGAUUAGAUACCCUUGUAGUCCUAGCUGUAAACGAUGGGCACUAAGUAGAGGGGUUUU